AGAGUUUGAUCCUGGCUCAGAACGAACGCUGGCGGCGUGGAUUAGGCAUGCAAGUCGAGCGCGAAAGUCGCCUUCGGGUGGCGAGUAGAGCGGCGAACUGGUGAGUACAAGGUGGGUAACGUGCCCGGACGUGGGGGAUAACUUCGAGAAAUUGAAGCUAAUACCGCAUGUCGUCCGAAUCCCUCGGGAUUUGGAAGAAAGGUGCAUCGACUUCGGUCGGUGUGCCGCGUCCGGAUCGGCCCGCCUCCCAUUAGCUUGUUGGUGGGGUAAUGGCCUACCAAGGCAACGAUGGGUAGCUGGCCUGAGAGGGUGGUCAGCCACACUGGGACUGAGAUACGGCCCAGACUCCUACGGGGGGCAGCAGUCUAGAGGCAUCCACAAUGGACGAAAGUCAGAUGGUGCGACGCCGCGUGUGGGAUGACGGUCUUCGGAUUGUAAACCACUGUCGCGAGGGAAUAAGGCCGGAGAGGAGCCCCUUUCCGGAUUGAAGGUACCUCGUAAGAAAGCACCGGCUAACUCCGUGCCAGCAGCCGCGGUAACACGGAGGUGCGAGCGUUGUUCGGAAUUAUUGGGCGUAAAGGGCGCGUAGGCGGAUUGGUCAGUCUCUUGGUGAAAUCUUCACCGCUUAACGGGAAAAUUGCCGGAGAUACUACCAGUCUUGAGAGCGGUAGAGGUGAGUGGAAUUCCAGGUGUAACGGUGGAAUGUUUAGAUAUCUGGAAGAACACCAGUGGCGAAGGCGACUCACUGGACCGUAUCUGACGCUGAGGCGCGAAAGCCAGGGGAGCGAACGGGAUUAGAUACCCCGGUAGUCCUGGCCGUAAACGGUGAACACUAGGUGUAGGAGGUAUCGACCCCUUCUGUGCCGCCGCUAACGCAUUAAGUGUUCCGCCUGGGGAGUACGACCGCAAGGUUGAAACUCAAAGGAAUUGACGGGGGCCCGCACAAGCGGUGGAGCAUGUGGUUUAAUUCGAUGCAACGCGAAGAACCUUACCCUGGCUCAAACCGGGGGGAAAAGCAGCCGAAAGGCUGUGUGCUUUCGGGCGUCCCUCGGAGGUGCUGCAUGGCUGUCGUCAGCUCGUGUCGUGAGAUGUUGGGUUAAGUCCCGCAACGAGCGUAACCCUUGUCUUUAGUUACCAGCGCGUCAUGGCGGGGACUCUAGAGAGACUGCCCUCGCAAGGGGGAGGAAGGUGGGGAUGACG
rnacentral:rRNA from 1 species